GUUUACGGGUAGAGCUUUUCUGGCUCGCUCAACGCACACAGCUGGGCAGGCCAGAUUGCCAUCCAUUAUUUAAGCGGGAGGAAGAGUGCUACUGGGCUGCGUGAUAGCUCUGCACGAGGCACCCGAUAUUUUUUUGUCGGUUGUUGUUGCGGGGGGGGGGGGGUGCAAGCGAGAGGGUGCAAGCGGGCGGGUGGAUGUGGGGUGACGCACGGGGGGGGAGAAUAUGGAAGAGUUUGGUUGGUUUUCAUUACAGCACAGAGUGAAACUCAACUCCGGCUUGGGAACUUUCACUGGCGGCGACACGACACGGCCCGGCAGGGAGCUGCCCCGGAGCGAGACAGCGCAGAACCGCUCCCGUGGGUUCGGAGCGGGGCACAGAGCUCGGUGGGACGACGGGACGAUGGUCGAGACUGAAGACGGAGCACAAGCCGAGGGGUCAGAGGUCGUGAGAUCAGCUGGUGUGCAGGGGCCGCAUAGAUCGUAGUCGCAGCAUCAUCGCGAGAACGACAGGUGAAGGAAAAAUCGGAGGACCCGGAGAAAAAUCCACGCGACCACGGGGAGAGAAAGAAAGAGAGAGAGACGCAAACUCCAAAUAUACAGCAAGCGUUGUCAGGGUCGGGAUCGAACCCACAACCUCCUGCAUACCAG